AUGGGCAGGGAGAAGGAUCAGGGCCUUGAUCACGGGGUGCAGACUUUGGCUUUUAUUCUGAGCGAUGCGGGAGGUCACUGCAGGGGUCCGAGUCCAGGAGUGGCAAGAGGACUGUGUUUGGAAUGGCUCACAUUGUGCUGUGUUGAAAACAGCCUGCAGGCAGGCUCGGAAAGGAGAACGGGGCGCCAUCUAGAGGCUCACUCAGGUUUUUCAGGAUAUCAACACUAUACUUGCCAGAAACAGAAGUCAUGACUGAUGUUUCUAAAAAAGAAACUGGAGAGAGAAAGACUCUGAAACUCUGAUUUGUGAACAGUCUCUUCACUCCAAGGUAUCAUCUGAGGGAUCCCAGCUCCCAUCUGCCCUGUGAGCUGGGCCAUGGAUUUGUCUUGGGAAGGAUGCCUGGCCCACUGGAUCUCCACUGUAGAGCUGGGUAGGAGACCCUCAGGUUGGACAGUCAUAUGGCCCACAGAGACCCUUCCUGAAAGCUCUUUCUCUCUGGGCUUAAAAUCCAUGGAGGACAUGGGGAGUUAGAGAGGAGAAGGGAGUUGGGGGAAAUUGGAAGGGGAGACGAACCAUGAGAGACGAUGGACUCUGAAAAACAAUCUGAGGGUUUUGAAGGGGCGGGGGGUGGGAGGUCGGGGUACCAGGUGGUGGGUAUUAUAGAAGGCACCGAUUGCAUGGAGCACUGGGUGUGGUGCAAAAAUAAUGAAUACUGUUAUGCUGAAAAUGAAUAAAAAAUAAAUUAAAAAAAAUCCAUUCUCCCAGGCGAACAGUGCCAGUCCUGGGGACCUCUCUCCCUAUAAUGUUCUACACAAACCCCAAGGACUUUACUUCACCUCCUUUGAAAAUAGCAUAUAGCUGAGUCUCUUUGCCUAAUAGACCAACUAAAUCUGUUUAUGUUAUGAUUUAAUUUAAUUAGUGGUAUGUCUGGAUUGACUUCUACCAUCUUACUGUGUGUAUGUAUCAUGCUUGGCAAAUAAGAAAAUUAUUUCUCUUUCUCUUUUCCUAUGUUCUGUGGGACUGAUUUCCUCUACACAUUUCACGUAUAUUAUUUUUAACAGUAGUUAUCUUUACAUUUUUAGCAUGAAAAUAUAACCUCGCGUAUUUCUUAAGUCUAGAAAGUUUAUCAAUAUGUCUAGCUUUUUCUUGAAAAAGAAAAGGACUAUAGAAUAUCUAACUUCCCUCUGAAAUUCCCAUUUUUAUUUUACAUGUUAUUAUAAUUCAGACGUUAGUUCCACCUCAUUUUUAUCCUCCAUUAAUUGUUUUGUAGUCAGUAAUUAUUACCGAUGUCCUUGUUCAUCCGUGGUUUCUCGUCUCACCUCCUUGUUCUGCGUUCUCAGUAAAUUCUUCAGACUUCCCUUGAAUUUAUGAGUUUUCUCUUUAGCCAAGUAUAAUCUACUUUUUAAUCUGUUUAUUGAGUGUAAGUUUUCAAUUAUCACACAUUUUAUUUAUAGAUUUUGCUUGGUGCUUUUCCAAGCCUGUCUUUCAAAAAUAUGCUGUAUUAGUUUCCUAUUGCUGCUGUAAUGUAUUACCAUUAAAAAAAAAAAAAAAAAAAGGCUUAAGCACCACAAAUUUUCCUACAGUUCUGCAGCUCCGAAGUCCAACACAAGGUCUUCCUGAACUGAAAUCAAGGUGUCUGCUCCCUGCAAGCUCCGGGGAAGAAUCCAUUUCCUUGUUCAUCUGGGAUAUUGGCUGAAUUCAGUGCCUUGUGUUUAUAGGACUGAGGUCCCCAUUUCCCUGCUGCCCGUCAGCUAAGCCUGUUCACAAGCUACCCCAUGCUUGGUGUGUCCCCUUCUUCCAUCUUCAAAACCAUCAAAAGUAGGUCAAAUCCCUCUCACACUUCAAAUAUCUCCUGUCUUUUCUUCUGUCUUCUCAUUUAUGACUCACUCCUUGUCUUUCUUCCAAUUUUUAAAAAAGAUUUUAUUUACUUAUUUGAGAGAGAGAGAGAGAGAGAGCAAAAGAGCUCACAUAAGCAGGGGGAGAGAGAGAAGCAGGCUCCCCACUGAGCAGGAAGCCCAAAAUGGGACUCAGUCCAAGUACCCUGGGGUCAUGGCCUGAGCGGAAGGCAGACGCUUAACCGACUGAGCCACCCAGGCAUCUAGUGAAUUUUUUUAAAGAUUUC
ensembl:lincRNA